rnacentral:rRNA from 1 species
CCUACGGGAGGCAGCAGUGGGGAAUUUUGGACAAUGGGCGCAAGCCUGAUCCAGCCAUUCCGCGUGCAGGAUGAAGGCCCUCGGGUUGUAAACUGCUUUUGUGAACAGGGCGGUACCGUAAGAAUAAGCACCGGCUAACUACGUGCCAGCAGCCGCGGUAAUACGUAGGGUGCAAGCGUUAAUCGGAAUUACUGGGCGUAAAGCGUGCGCAGGCGGUGAUGUAAGACAGAUGUGAAAUCCCCGGGCUCAACCUGGGAACUGCAUUUGUGACUGCAUCGCUGGAGUGCGGCAGAGGGGGAUGGAAUUCCGCGUGUAGCAGUGAAAUGCGUAGAUAUGCGGAGGAACACCGAUGGCGAAGGCAAUCCCCUGGGCCUGACUGACGCUCAUGCACGAAAGCGUGGGGAGCAAACAGGAUUAGAUACCCUUGUAGUC